rnacentral:rRNA from 1 species
ACGAACGCUGGCGGCGUGCCUAAUCCAUGCAAGUUGAGCGCUGAAGGUUGGUACUUGUACCAACUGGAUGAGCAGCGAACGGGUGAGUAACGCGUGGGGAAUCUGCCUUUGAGCGGGGGACAACAUUUGGAAACGAAUGCUAAUACCGCAUAAAAACUUUAAACACAAGUUUUAAGUUUGAAAGAUGCAAUUGCAUCACUCAAAGAUGAUCCCGCGUUGUAUUAGCUAGUUGGUGAGGUAAAGGCUCACCAAGGCGAUGAUACAUAGCCGACCUGAGAGGGUGAUCGGCCACAUUGGGACUGAGACACGGCCCAAACGCCUACGGGAGGCAGCAGUAGGGAAUCUUCGGCAAUGGACGAAAGUCUGACCGAGCAACGCCGCGUGAGUGAAGAAGGUUUUCGGAUCGUAAAACUCUGUUGGUAGAGAAGAACGUUGGUGAGAGUGGAAAGCUCAUCAAGUGACGGUAACUACCCAGAAAGGGACGGCUAACUACGUG